AGAGAGCAGUAGACCGGUGUUGUGCCGAAUGUGUGCGUUUUUUGUGGAGGCAGCAACAAGCUGCAGAAGAAAGAAAAGUCUAAUUUAAUUAAUGUACAGAGACAGUUAGUAGCCUGGCUAGUUUAUAAUAAGUUUGUCACACUGCUACACAGUUUUGUGUGUUGUACUGUGUGUAGCUAAUGGUCUGCAGAUAGCAACAGGUUAGCACCAUCGCUAACAGCAAGCUAACGUGGUGCGAACACUGUGUGUGACCGGCUGUUAACGGUAUGCUUCGAGGGAGACAGUCCUGUGCCUGUUUUCACCUUCACCUUUCUGAGAGGAUUGCAUAACAUGAGAACAGCGGGAGUCAUCUGGAGGAUGCUGUGAAACUGGGCUCAAUGUUACUUGCGCCCAACAGGCGCCCCAGUUAGCAGCACAACAAACACUGCGGGGACGCGCCGAGUCAGCGGGCUGUCUGAAAAACUUCAGUCACCCAGAGGAAAAACCGCCGGACCGCCUUUCUCCUCACAUGAGGCCUCAGCUCUGUUUAGUCUCUAGACUAGAAGACCUCCGAGCAGUACAGCACCUGGCAGCUGUUCCUGGAGACCAUCAUCCCCAUCCUGCAGAACCUUAAAUAUAAAGGCCCAGUGAGGAGUUGGUGAAGAUGAGUCGUCCCUGACACCCCGAGGACCAGUUCACCACCAGCAUCCUGAGAUACUGGGCGUCCAAUCAGGAGAACACAUAAAGGCCCAGCUGAUCAGGAACAGCAACCAGCCCCGCAAGAGACAGAGGUGUGGACAGACUGGGACAGGUGAGGACAGACAGAUGAGGCCUGACAGGAGAGAGUCUUCACUCAGACCCCGAUCCUUCAGGCUCUGCAGCACAUUCAGGCCAGCGGUGACGAGGUCCAUGAGAUGAGGUAUGCGCUAGGGCUGCAACAAUUAGUUGACGUGAAAUUUCAUUGUGAGUGGUGCUAGCCAGCCGGCCAGUCUAACCCACAGAGCCCUCUGGUCCCAGUUAUUCAGACCACUGCAGCAGCAACAACAGAGCUACAGAGACCGAGGAAAGGCAGUGUUUCCCAUAUGUUCAUUUAUUUGUGGCGGCCCGCCACAAUAUCAACGCUGACCACCACAGAUUGAUUUUCGAUUGUUUUUUGUUUUUUUAAAUUGUAUUUGAUUGCAGAGCGCCUAGUGCAUUUGUGCAGCACAUCUUCUCGCUCAUCUCUCUCUUUCUCACUCACCUUUCUCGCUCUCGCUCUCUCUACCUCUCCCUCAUGAACACAGCUGCACAAAUCUUUCCAACACAACGCUGUCAAUGUUGGAGAUCUUAAAAAAGUUAUUAGCAAGCAUGUAAGGAGCCAAGCAUGUAAUAAGGAGAGCUAAGUUUUUGAGGUUAGCACACUGUAUAUAGGUGGUAGUCAAUAUCGACUGCACGCGCACCCCCCCCGCCCACCACAGUUACACUGUCAUUCUGUGGGAAACACUGCAAUAUCAACGCUGACCGCCUCAUACUGAUUUUCGUUUUUUAGAAAAUUUUACUAGGCCUAUUUAAAAUCUUAUUUGAUUGCAGGUCAGCACCGCAGCACAUUCGCGCAGCACAUCCUCACUCUCUCACUCACUCACUCACUCAUACACACACACACACACACAGACGGGUGACAUCAUUCCAUUUCAAAACCCCAACGGAAAAUUUGAUAUUUAAUGUGGACAGACUGAGACAGGUGAGAACAGAAAGGUGAGGAUGGAAAGGCAGGUGAGGACAGAUGGACGGUCAGGCAGGUGAGGACAGACAGGUGGGGACAGAUGAACAGAUGAGGACGGGCAAGUGAGGACGGACUGAGACAGGUGAGGACAGACAGGUGGGGACAGAUGAACAGAUGAGGACGGGCAAGUGAGGACGGACUGAGACAGGUGAGGACAGACCAGACACCCCUUUUCUCUCAGCUGGACAGGUAGGCUGGAAUAAAAUACAGCUGCUUCUUACUUUCUAUAAAUUGAACUAAAAGACAUUCUGUUAGCUUCCUGCUCAGCUUCCAGUCUGAAGGGGGGGAGAUGUUUGUUAACCUGCUUCACUACUCCAGCCGUUUGGGAACAGACUUUUGUUGGACUGGAGCAGAGCCCUUUAAAGAGAGAGUUGUGUCAGCGGGAGUCCAAAAUGCUUGAUCGUCACAUGGUUCAUGGAGACCGCAGAUAGUUCCCGGAAGUCCUUGCAAUUGAAAAUGAGCGAGAGAAACGACAAAACGGCGAUUUUAAGCAAUUUUUGGUAUUUUAUACAAUAAAUGCGUUCAUUUACAAUAUUUGUACAGCACACUGACACGUGUAUGUAGUUACAUUACUAUUUUUUAAAAAGGAGGAAAUAUAUUUUUGACAAUAACAGCUACAAUCACCUACCAUGUUGACAUUUUUUGGCCAACCUUACAUUGGAAAGUGUGUUCCUCUUGAAAACACGUUUAAAAUUCAGAUCAGAUUUAGCUUUCUAAUAUACCUUUUAGUAAUCCCAUGGUACCAGGGUUAAUUGAUCUUAAUGACUGAAUGUCUUUAUGACUUCAGAUAUUUCCUCCUGAGAUUCACCGUCACUUUCUGUCACUCGGACAAUCAAACACUCUGAGACCCACAGAUUAAAGGAGCUACUCUGAUAACAGCGCCUGUCAGGUAGACGUCCUGCAGGGUCUAAAAAAAGUCUAAAAUUUCAACAUUUAAGUUUUUGUCCUAGGUCUUACAUAAUUUUAAACGGGUAUUUAUUUUUCAACGUCCAUGUAACGCUGCCUCUAAUGCUCGUUGAAAUGGCCCUGCAGCACUCAAUAAUGUUUUUUCCUCCUGUGGUGGUGUAGUUCUUUCUGUCGCUAGUCCAAAUCAAUCCAAAUAUAAUUCGCUGUAUUACAACUACAAUGACUAACAGGCAGCUUCAUGUUAUUGCCCAAGUCUCUUUCGGAUUGUACCACAGAUAAAAACGAAUUUAUUCUUCAGCUAUGGGGAGUUGCAACCUUAUUGGUUCUUGGAUGGAAAAACAGAUCUUAAGGCUUAAAACUAGUCUCUAGCAAUGUAUUUGAAGCCUACUGUUGCUGCUUAAUGAAUGAGCGGCAGAAAGUGACGGUGAAAGUUAGCAGAGGAUAAGAUCAGCAUUAAGUUGUCGGUUACAGGUUACUCUGUUCUCUACUGUACAUCUUGAUAAUUAAAUUAAAAGAGAGGACGGUGUUGACCACAGAGGAGCUGAGGUUAGUAACGUUAAGCAAAUUAGGGAUGCAAACUAACGUUAGUCCUUUUAAGCUAAUGAGGAGAUUAUUCUUUUG